GGAUCUUUUACGUGUUCAAUGACAGUUCGCGGUUGAACGAUGGAUGAAGCCAAAGAUCAGCCCCUCAAGUCUUUGUGGUUCAAAUGUUCAGGGUUAAACAACUUUGCUUAUCUCAGUCUGGCUUUAGACGUUUUAUAUUUAAACUGCGAUUUUUUUUUUUUUUUUUUUUUUUUUUUUCCAGGAAACUAUAAAAAUUAAAUUAACUAAAAAGUUGUGAAAUCUUGA
rnacentral:misc_RNA from 1 species